AAGGAUUAUUAUUCGGAACAUCUUCGUAGAAGAUGAAAACGGAAUAACGAUGACAUAUUGCAUUUAGUUUUGAAUGCUCAUUCGAGUAUUCAAGAUUGCACAUUGAAAACUAGAUAGUAAGUAUAGAUUUUACCAAGCAAAACCGAGUGAAUUAGAGUUUUUAAAAGCUUGAAUUCAAAAAUAAUCGCUAGUGUUCAACAGAACACUCACAGAUUAAUAACUAAGGUUUUGAGUUGAACAUUCUCGUAUUUGUCUGACUUAUGCUUUGAAAGAAAGCGUUUGGCAGUUGAUGAUGCGAGUAGUUGACUUAAAACAAUUGA
rnacentral:misc_RNA from 1 species